rnacentral:rRNA from 1 species
UACAUGGGGUGCAAACGUUGCUCGGAAUUAUUGGGCGUAAAGCGCACGUAGGCGGUUCGUUAAGUCGGAUGUGAAAGCCCUCGGCUCAACUGAGGAAGUGCACCCGAAACUGGCGAGCUUGAGUACGAAAGAGGAUCGCGGAAUUUCCGGUGUAGCGGUGAAAUGCGUAGAGAUCGGAAGGAACACCAGUGGCGAAGGCGACUGUCUGGACAGAUACUGACGCUGAGGCGCGAAAGCGUGGGGAGCAAACAGG